AACGAACGCUGGCGGCAGGCCUAACACAUGCAAGUCGAGCGAGAUCUUCGGGUCUAGCGGCGGACGGGUGAGUAACGCGUGGGAAUAUGCCUCUUGGUACGGAAUAGCCUCGGGAAACUGGGAGUAAUACCGUAUGUGCCCUUUGGGGGAAAGAUUUAUCGCCAAGAGAUUAGCCCGCGUUGGAUUAGGUAGUUGGUGGGGUAAUGGCCUACCAAGCCGACGAUCCAUAGCUGGUUUGAGAGGAUGAUCAGCCACACUGGGACUGAGACACGGCCCAGACUCCUACGGGAAGCAGCAGUGGGGAAUCUUAGACAAUGGGGGCAAACCUGAUCUAGCCAUGCCGCGUGAGUGAUGAAGGCCUUAGGGUUGUAAAGCUCUUUCAGCUGGGAAGAUAAUGACGGUACCAGCAGAAGAAGCCCCGGCUAACUCCGUG
rnacentral:rRNA from 1 species